rnacentral:rRNA from 1 species
AUGCCGCAGGUGCCAGAUUCACGUAUAUGCAGGAUUAACGUCAAACCCCUCACUGUUGCUUAUGCAUAUGAAGUGGCUUUUGCCUCUCGGCCAGAGGAUCUGUUCGCAGACUUCAUCUGGGGGAAGAACUAUGCGACUAACCGAUGCAGGUUGUUUCUCUGGCUCGCACACAAAGGGCGAUUGUUCACCAACGAGCGUCGAUUCCGAAGAAGUCUCUCAGACUCUGACUCCUGCCCGUUCUGCUCGGAAACUGAGUCAACUUCCCACUUGCUGCUACACUGCCCAACGGCCUCUGAGGUCUGGACGGUCGUCGACUCCCUAAACAUUGCUCCUGCUGAUUGCGAGACUAUACACGACCUGCAAAAUCCACAGCUUACUUGCAAGGCCCGCAACACUGUCAUCUUGGCUAUCCUCUGGAGUAUCUGGAAGAGAAGAAAGGCCAAAAUUUUCCAGAAUGAGGUCGAAUCCUUGGGAACUGUUCUCCGUCGUGCUGCUCAAUAAAUCUUCCUUUGGUCAAACAGAUGUGCUAAUGAGACCCGGAAACAAAUUCUGAUCGACUGGGGAAUUAUGUUGUCCCGUCUGAAUGUAGCUUAG